AUGGACCCCAAUGAUUGCAUUAUUCCUAUUACUCAUGCAGUGGUGCAGAGUGAGGACACCAAAGCUUGGAGGUGGUUUCUAACUGCAUUGAAGGAAGAUUUAGGAAUUGCGAACACUGAGUUAUGGACAAUCAUGUCAGACAAGCAAAAAGGUUUAAUGAAGGCUGUUAAAGAGUUGUUUCCUCUAUCACCUCACAGAUUUUGUCUGAGGCAUUUGUGGCAGAAUUUCAACAAGAACUUCAAAGGAGAAUCUUUGAAAAAUCAACUAUGGAAGUGUGCUAGGAGUACUACAGAGGGUAGAUUUAGGGAAAAUAUGAACCAGAUGUUAGUGCUCAGCCAGGAGGCCCAUGAUUGGCUUGCAGAGUUGGACCCAAAAAUCUGGGUUAGGGCUUACCAGAAUGAUUUCCCCAAGUGUGAUGUGCUGUUAAAUAACAAUUGUGAGGUGUUCAACAGAUAUAUUUUGGAGGCUAGGGAAAUGCCAAUCAUAAGCAUGAUCCAAAGGAUCAAAGGGCAGAAUAUGGGAAGGAAUUAUGCAAAGCAGCAUCAUAGUUUGAAGUGGCAUGGUGCUAUAUGUCCAAAGAUAAGAAAGAAACUGGAGAAGAGUGUAGAAUUUUCUAGAACUUGUCAAGCUGCACCAACUGGCAAAUGA
rnacentral:rRNA from 1 species